rnacentral:rRNA from 2 species
GGAUGUGAUCAUACCAGCACUAAAGCACCGGAUCCCAUCAGAACUCCAAAGUUAUGCGUGCUUCGGCGAGAGUAGUACUAGGAUGGGUGACCUCCUGGGAAGUCCUCGUGUUGCAUUGC